rnacentral:lncRNA from 10 species
UUGGCCAUGGAGCUCUGCUUCUUCUUAGAGGUCUGGGCUUUCUUCUCCUUGGGCGUGCCCGAGGUGACGUCGUCGUGGUCGCGGUUGCUGGACGCGUUCUCACGGUUCUAGUUGUUGCGCUGCCGCCGAGAACGCUUUGCUGUUGGACUUCUCCGCCUGCGCGUCCGCCUCGCCCCUGGGCCUGUCCGGGCCGACCUUGCCGCCGUCGCGCUGCGUCGCCCUGCUCCUGCUGCGGGUGGAACGGCUCCACGUGGCUGUCUACCUGCCGCGUGAGGCUCUCCACCAGCUCCACCCUCUGGCUCUUGAUCUGGAUCUUCUGAUCGCCCGGCUCCUAGCUGCGGAUCAGGGCCCGCUGGGCGCAGGGUGGCACCCGCGGCUUCUGCGCGCAGUCCGUGUCGCGGCGGACCUUCUCAUAGCACUUGUCCAGGUCCUUCAGGGUCUCCUCCAGGAAAGUCUCCGUGCCGCAAGCCCGGCUAACUCACGCCUCCCCAGCCAUGUGCGGCCGCACCCUCCGGUCUGCAGAGGUGUGGCAUGUGACGGUCUGCGAGCCGGUGUCGCGGGACGCCGGGGCGGGGCGGGCCGCCCAAGCUGCAGCCCAGGCCCCCAGCCCCCAGCCCUAGCCUCGGCCCGGCCUCCGGCAUUGCUCCGCGGCUGGAAGCGCAAUGCCCUUCUCACUGUGCUCCACUGUACCAAUGAACAAGCCAUUCAGAGAUGGAUCCACAAAGAUCUCUGGAGCAACGACCAGGUCCUGCUCUACCCGAUUCUCAGCUUUGGGGAUAGAAUUCCCAGAAACAUCUGUGUCCGGAGUUGGUUCCUUCCAGUGGGUUCUUGGUCUUGCUGACUUCAAGAAUGAAGCCGUGGACCUUCGCGCUUCAGGCUGAAGAUAGUGAAAAUCCGUGCCAGACUUGGAUUGGAAGAAUGAACCAAGGCUUUGAGUCUCUUCGUCUCAUCUCCGUUUUGAUACGUGUCUCCUUAGUUUGUAAGCCAAGGAGAGGACUACAGUGAGGAUUGUGGAGGGAAGUGGACCUUAUUGGUCUUUGAGCUCUCACAUCUUUAAAGACUGUUGGUGCUGAGAGAAAAAGUAUCCUCAUCUGGCAGAACUCCCAUAGGGUGUGCUCCCCUUGCUGUUCUGCUUUUGUUUUGCAGAAAGCUGCCUUUUUCAAUGUACUCAUUAGGCUUUCAUUGUUUUUUCCUUUUUUACCUUUUUCAUCUUUCACUGUUGAUAUCACAGGUGGCCAUAUCUUUACCAGUGCAGCUACCAAAUAAGAAAUCAUCUUUUCCACAUUCACUAGUUAGUGAUGGUUGUUGUACUACCAUGAAAUCAGUUUCUUCUUUACUUUUAUUCAGGUUACAAGAUUUCUGGAAGGUUUUAAGAUCAAUUUUAAUUAGUCUUUGUGACUGGUUACUUCAUCCAGGGGACCAAUUUCUCUCUGGAAUAUUAGUCCCGCACCCCUGGAGAGCCUGUGCGGCUGCAUCUCCCUCCGGAGGUGGUUCUGGAGUUGGUUCCUUUUGGUGGGUUCCUGGUCUCGCUGACUUCAAGAAUGAAGCCACGGACCUUCACGGUGAGUGUUACAGCUCUUAAAGGUGGCACGGACUCAAAGAGUGAGCAGCAGCAAGAUUCAUUGUGAAGACGGAAAGAACACAGCUUCCACGGUGUGGAAAGAGACCCGAGUGGGUUGCUAC